rnacentral:rRNA from 1 species
GAUGAACGCUGGCGGCGUGCCUCAAACAUGCAAGUCGAGCGAGGCUAUGAGUUACCGCAAGGUAAGGCAUAGCCUAGCGGCGAACGGGUGAGUAACACGUGGGUAACCUACCUGGAAGACAGGGAUAACGAUUCGAAAGGGUCGCUAAUACCUGAUAAUAUCCAUCUGCCGGAUGGCGGAGGGAAGAAGGGGAAACCCGCUUUCAGAUGGGCCCGCGUCCCAUCAGCUAGUUGGUAGGUAAUAGCCUACCAAGCCGAUGACGGGUAGCCGGCCUGAGAGGGUGACCGGCCCGAGGGGCACUGAGAUACGGGUCCCACUCCUACGGGAGGCAGCAGGCUAGAAAUUUGGGCAAUGGGGGAAACCCUGACCCAGUGACGCCGCGUGCAGGAAGGAGCCCUUCGGGGUGUAAACUGCUUUUGUACGGAACGAAACGGCGAGCUCUAAUACAGUUUGCUAAUGACGGUACCGUAAGAAUAAGCACCGGCUAACUACGUG